GACAGAGGGUGCAAACGUUGUUCGGAAUUACUGGGCGUAAAGGGCGCGUAGGCGGAUAGUUCAGUUGGGGGUGAAAGCCCGGGGCUCAACCUCGGAACUGCCUUCAAUACUGGCUAUCUUGAGUACGGGAGAGGUGUGUGGAACUCCGAGUGUAGAGGUGAAAUUCGUAGAUAUUCGGAAGAACACCAGUGGCGAAGGCGACACACUGGCCCGUUACUGACGCUGAGGCGCGAAAGCGUGGGGAGCAAACAGG
rnacentral:rRNA from 1 species